rfam:Stegodyphus mimosarum contig25259, whole genome shotgun sequence.
GCCUUUGUGGUGUAAUGGUCAGCACACCCGGCGCGUAUUCGAGAGUUCCCAGGUUCGAGUCCCGGCAAGGGUA